ACGCAGCACCCAGGAGAUGGACCAACUGCACAGCAAACUCAAGGAGAAGCUGACUCGAGAGGAGCAGCUGCAGCAGAAGCUGCUGGAGGAACAGUACUCCCUGCUCCAGGGCACGGUGACCGAGGCGGAGAGCAUCAUCCAGGACGCCCUGGCCAAGCUGGACGACCCCUACACAUCCGCUGCACCAGCUCACCAGACUACCUGGUGAGCCGAGCUGAGGCCACGCUGGGCUCCAUUGAUAAGGUGAAGGCGGGACAUGCCGACUACGUGAAGAA